rnacentral:tRNA from 1 species
GCCCCAGUGGCCCAACUGGCAGAGGCAAGCGGCUUAAAACCGCUGUGUUGCGGGUUCGAGUCCCGCCUGGGGUAC